CGAUGGCUGACUACCAGGCGCAGUUCGAUGCCGCGAAGAAGGCGCGGGAUCUGGCCGUUCGCGCCUCGCAGCUGGUGACGACCGUGGACGACCUCACGCAACAGGUGACCAAUGCCGAGGCGCAGUCGCGCAAAGCCGGCAUGGCCAACAUCGAUCAGGUGCUGGAACAGGCCGGCACCGCCAAGGCCCAGUUGACGGCGCUCAUGGACAAGCUCCGGCGCCCGCAGCCGGCGAUGGGCUAUCGCAUGUAUCCACGCCUGGCCGAAGAUGUCGGGACGACGCUCGGCGGCAUCGUGGGCCCGCAGGCAAGACCCACGUCCGGCCAGAUGACCGUACUUGGCGAGCUUGAAAGUGACGCCACGGCGCGCCAGCAGGAACUCAACAAGAUCAUCGACGGUUCGAUCGCCGCGCUGAACAAGAUGCUCGGCGAUCAACCGAAGGUGAUCGUACCGCGACAAGGAGGUGGACGAUGAAAACGUAUGCGUUGAUGGUCUCGGCGUCUGUGCUCGUCAUGGUCGGUGUGCUUGGCAGCACCAGUGAUCUCUCGGCCCAGGCAAGCGUGAAGUACGUGAAGUACGAAUCUGCGGGCCGCACGGCCUGGGGCAUUCUGGAAAACGACACGACGAUCCGCGAACUCACCGGUUCGCCCAUCUCCACCAAGGCCACACCCACGAACAAACGCGUCAACGUGGCCGAUGUGCGCUUCCUGCCGCCCGCUGAGCCGACGAAAGUGAUUGCCGCCGGCCUCAAUUACAAGAGCCACAUCGGGGAAGCGUCGGCGGCCAAGUAUGUGGGCCUCUUCG
rnacentral:misc_RNA from 1 species